rnacentral:rRNA from 1 species
UACGUAGGGUGCAAGCGUUAAUCGGAAUUACUGGGCGUAAAGCGUGCGCAGGCGGUUAUGUAAGACAGUCGUGAAAUCCCCGGGCUCAACCUGGGAACUGCGAUUGUGACUGCAUAGCUAGAGUACGGUAGAGGGGGGUGGAAUUCCGCGUGUAGCAGUGAAAUGCGUAGAUAUGCGGAGGAACACCGAUGGCGAAGGCAGCCCCCUGGACCUGUACUGACGCUCAUGCACGAAAGCAUGGGGAGCAAACAGG